CCUUCCUGUGCUGAGGACCCGGAGCUGAACUCAUCACUCCAGAAAAAGAACUGAAAAAGAGAACAGAACUAUCUCCCGGCGGCAAGAUAGCACAUGCGCAGAAAAAGCUGACUACGUCAAAAGGAUAAAGUGAGCGGAGCCGAGCUUGUCUCCUAGCAACAAGAUAACGCAUGCGUAAAGCCUCUUGGCGACAAGAACAGAGCCUGCGCAGAUAGACCUGAUGAACAAAGGAGGGGAUUUUAAAAGAGAUAAGCCGCUACAAACCUAUAAAAGGCAGAUUGGAAUUACUGAAGUGUGCCUUGGAUGAGCAAAGAAAGCUCAUCCAGUCACCCAGCGCUGUUUUUGCUUAUUUGAUUUUUAUAUAAAUCUAUAAUAAAACUUUUUGUUAUAAUA